rnacentral:rRNA from 1 species
GUCGAACGCUGGCGGCAGGCCUAACACAUGCAAGUCGAACGGAUCGCCGGACGGGUGCGUAAUGCCUAUGUCUCUGCCUGUUAGUGGUGGAUCACGUCCGCUACCGGGCGCUAUUACCGCUUACUAUCAGAUUCGCCUAUGUCGGAUUAGCUAGUUGGUGGGGUAAAGGCCUACCAAGGCGACGAUCCGUAACUGGUCUGAGAGGAUGAUCAGGCACACUGGAACUGAGACACGGUCCAGACUCCUACGGGAGGCAGCAGUGGGGAAUAUUGGACAAUGGGCGAAAGCCUGAUGCAGCCAUGCCGCGUGUAUGAAGAAGGUCUUCGGAUUGUAAAGCACUUUAAGUUGGGAGGCGUUACCAGCAGAAGAAGCACCGGCUAACUCCGUGCCAGCAGCCGCGGUAAUAC